rnacentral:rRNA from 1 species
CCUACGGGAGGCAGCAGUGGGGAAUUUUGGACAAUGGGGGCAACCCUGAUCCAGCAAUGCCGCGUGUGCGAAGAAGGCCUUCGGGUUGUAAAGCACUUUUGUCAGGGAAGAAAUCUUUUGGGCUAAUACCCCGGAAGGAUGACGGUACCUGAAGAAUAAGCACCGGCUAACUACGUGCCAGCAGCCGCGGUAAUACGUAGGGUGCAAGCGUUAAUCGGAAUUACUGGGCGUAAAGCGUGCGCAGGCGGUUCGCUAAGACAGUCGUGAAAUCCCCGGGCUUAACCUGGGAACUGCGAUUGUGACUGGCGAGCUAGAGUACGGCAGAGGGGGGUGGAAUUCCUGGUGUAGCAGUGAAAUGCGUAGAGAUCAGGAGGAACACCGAUGGCGAAGGCAGCCCCCUGGGCUAGUACUGACGCUCAUGCACGAAAGCGUGGGGAGCAAACAGGAUUAGAUACCCUGGUAGUCCACGCCCUAAACGAUGUCAAUUAGUUGUUGGUUCUUCAUUGAAUCAGUAACGAAGCUAACGCGUGAAAUUGACCGCCUGGGGAGUACGGUCGCAAGAUUAAAACUCAAAGGAAUUGACGG